rfam:Heterocephalus glaber contig185719, whole genome shotgun sequence.
CAAAUUCAUAUUCGUCUUUUUGUCCUCCACCACCCCCUUUCAGCUGCUGUUAUUACGUGAAGUUUGGAACCUAAGCUUUGAAAACUCUCGUGUGGCGCCUGUCUGAAGUCGGGCAUGCUUAGUA